GAUGAACGCUAGCGGCAGGCCUAAUACAUGCAAGUCGGACGGGAUUCAGGAGCUUGCUUCUGAUGAGAGUGGCGCACGGGUGCGUAACACGUAUGUAACCUACCUUUAUCAGGGGGAUAGCCUCUCGAAAGAGAGAUUAAGCCCGCAUAAAAUCACAGCACAGCAUUGUGUAAUGAUCAAAUAUUUAUAGGAUAAAGAUGGGCAUGCGGAACAUUAGCUAGAUGGCGGGGUAACGGCCCACCAUGGCGACGAUGUUUAGGGGAUCUGAGAGGAUGGCCCCCCACAUUGGUACUGAAAAACGGACCAGACUCCUACGGGAGGCAGCAGUAAGGAAUAUUGGUCAAUGGGGGGAAGCCUGAACCAGCCAUGCCGCGUGAAGAAAGACGGCCCUAGGGGUUGAAAACUGCUUUUAUACGGGAAUAAACCCAGAAACGUGUAUCUGGCUGAAUGUACUUUAAGAAUAAGGAUCGGCUAACUCCGG
rnacentral:rRNA from 1 species